rnacentral:snRNA from 1 species
AUACCUUUCUCGGCCUUUUGGCUAAGAUCAAGUGUAGUAUCUGUUCUUAUCAGUUUAAUAUUUGAUAAGUGGGCCAUCGGCUCACACGAUAUUAACUCAAUUUUUUAAGGGGAAGAGUCCAUUAAGGUAGCUUGCUGCCUGGGCUCUUGUGCAUCGCCCAUGCGUUGCACUAUUGCACGGGCUUGGUGCACCCCAC